rnacentral:rRNA from 1 species
UACAGAGGGUGCGAGCGUUGUCCGGAAUCACUGGGCGUAAAGGGCGCGUAGGUGGCGACCCAAGUCUGUGGUGAAAGCUCGAUGCUUAACAUCGAGUCGGCCACGGAUACUGGGUGGCUCGAGCACUGUAGAGGCAGAUGGAAUUCCGGGUGUAGCGGUGGAAUGCGUAGAGAUCCGGAAGAACACCGGUGGCGAAGGCGGUCUGCUGGGCAGUAGCUGACACUGAGGCGCGACAGCGUGGGGAGCGAACAGG